CCCAAAUACAGGGGUGCCGCACACCCCCUAUGUUUCAUCGAUGAGGUGCUGGACCAUGAAUUUCCAGAGGGAUUCAAACCCGUAAACAUAGAGGCGUAUGACGGAACGACAGACCCUGGGGUCUGGAUUGAGGAUUACAUCCUCCAUAUCCAUAUGGCUCGAGGAGAUGAUCUCCACGCCAUUAAGUACUUACCCCUCAAGCUCAAAGGGCCAGCUCGGCACUGGCUUAAAAGCCUCCCCGAAAACUCCAUUGGAAGCUGGGAAGAGCUCGAAGACGCCUUUCGGGCAAAUUUUCAA
rnacentral:rRNA from 1 species